GGCAAAGGGUUUCCUGCCCUCGGUGUGGGCACACAAAGACGCCGCGGGUGCCCCCCUCACCGGAUCUCGCAGGCAGCCGCUAACGCAAGGCCGCCGCCAACCGGUCGUGAUCGUAACCGAGGCCUUGUCUGCUCAGAGGCCCACCAGGCCAAAAACCACGGACCUGAACAGCCUCCCUUUAUGCACUUAGUACAACCAAAACUGUGUACCGAGAGAGAGAAAAGAAACCUCCAAGCUUUCUCUAAGCUAGCUCUUUACCCUCCGGAAGAACCAUUUGGAAAGGAAACAGAGAGCUAGAGAUUUGGACAGAAAGAUGGAAGAUGCAAGGAAAAAAAAAAAGGAAGGAGUAACGGAAAGGAAAAAAUAAAGAAGAAAGGGAAGAGGAUAGAAAAUACGAAAACACACAGCAGCAACUGAGAGCAGAGGCGCCCUUGCAGCGGGAAGGGUAAGCGACAAGGCCAGGGUACCAGCCCCGACUGUCUCCACUGGCAAAGGACUUUUGCCUCUGCUCAUAGCGGAAUUACUGGGCCGAGCAUGUGUUCCAGCCCAGCCUUGUCGGAGAAUGACAGAGCCCCACACAGGCACAGGUCGACAGUAGGGAAAGCUCAGACAGCAAACGAGCGCCCCUGACCUUGAAUGGCCCGGGGCCCAGAAUUCUUACCACGCCCCCGGCGUCCGAGAAUCAGCCGCUAACCUGACCGUACCUGCUCCGGGCCAGGUGCCGGGAGGAGACAGUGAGGCGGGCUGGAUGGCACAGCGCUGAGGAAGACCCGAAGCUCCUCCUGCACUGGGGAUCUGAGGUUGCCACCGCAGGCCUGGCACGAUUAGGCCUUGAUGGCACGCCUGACCACCCCGGGCUGCUCAGUACAGGUACCUGAAGACGCUUUCAACUGAAGUAAUGAAGGCAGUGUCAUGCUGUCGAGAGAAAGGUGGAUCCCAACAACAGGAAACUACCUAAAUCACCGACCAGUUCUGAUGCUGCCGGCGUAGCCUUGCCUCGCCCCUCGCCGCCUCCGCUGGCCGCUGCCGCCACUGUCGCCGCCAAGGAAAGAGCCCUGCGAUUGUGCCCAGACCAGCCCUCCGCAACCUGUACCAGACACCACCCCAAGCCCGUGGUGGACGAAGAAGGCACCGUUCUAGGGAGAGGUUUGACCCUUUUAUGCAUGUAACUUCACAGUAUAGAGGAAAUCCAAACAACAUCUCCCUUCUCUCGUUUUGUCUGCUUGCCCAGCCCACCUAGGCUUCCGUGAAUUUCAGAAAGCCUACAAAAUAAAACAAAACAAAAGCCAGGUCAAGCCCUUUAGCUAACCUGAAUGUCCACACUUCCUUACUCUGCUCUUGGCCAAGGAAGAAAAGAAGGAAGAAAAGAGAAACCAGGCCUGGACUCCCUGAUUAAACACAGCCCAGCACUCCGCUGGAACCCGGUGGUGGCCCCUUGCACCGUUGACCUCAGGCCAGACACCUCAGCGCCGACAAUGGGACCUAGGGCUUCCGGCUAAGUUUCCCCAGGGCUGGCAGGAAACCAGACCCGUGGAGGAGUACUGGGGUCCUUUCCUAGCAGUGGGUCCCAGAGGCAGCCAACCCAGCCCAGUCAGGACUUGACAGUGAGAACGAUCUCAACCUCUAUAGAAUUUUAGCGAUAUGGCUUUUCCCCCAGAAACAAGUAAACACCAAGCAAACAGACAAAGAAACAACAACAACAACAACAACAACAAAAGCCAGAACAAACCAGCCCUGCACAGACGAAACCGGCCUGGGAGAUGGCGAGUGUGGGAGGGAGAAAUGGGGCUCCGGCACAGGUGCGAGUUCUGGGGCAGAGGCUGGAGGCAGGAGGAGGGUACAGGCGCUCGGAAAACGCCUUGUCUGGAAGUUUCAUCAAGAAAAAUUAAAGUUGGCUGUGAGCUCCCGGA